UUGGUCGCAGGGAGCACAGGUGAAGCUGUCAUCCUCUGAUUAAAUUAGUAACUUAAGUUAGGAAACGGUCACCGUCGUGCCACUGCGAAACUAUGAAUGGACUCUGAAAAAGAAACUUUGAAGUGAAUUGUGAGGCCUCAUAACAAUUAAUAUGUUGGAAAAGGAACAGCUGAGAUAAUACCAGUUUGUCUGUGUUGCUAAUAAUGUGAGCUAGCUUAAAUGUUGCACAAAUCCAGCACCAAGGGUGAGGAAAUGACGACACCAAACCAAAUGACCACGACAGCAACAAGUGGACAUUUUAUGACCCGGAUACUUCAUCUCCAUGAAGGGAGAGGAGAAGGUGGACUUCAAUGGAAAUAAAACGCUGCUGAGUGGCAAUGGCUGGCCGAACAUCGCGGCCCUGCCAGAAUCCUGACACAGACUGCAGAUGCAGAGACUGACAGAGGUCCCCUCACCCCACUGGCAGAGGCACCCGCCUGGCCAUCUGGUGCUUCUAGAGCAGGUGCCAGUCACCCAUCACAUCCGCCUGUCUGCCCGCCUGCCUGCAAGACAUGGCCCUCCGCUGAGGCCUUCGGACCAGCUUCACAGCCCCCGCUCCCUCCUCUUCGCCUCCCCUUCGCCAACACAAUCUCUUGAAGAGGAAUAGAUGUGUCGCCAGGGCAGACAAGCUUCUGUAGAAACCCUCAUCAAUCCUUCCUCUGUCAAUCAAUGUUGGGCUGAAAGAAAUCUCCCGGUCGAAGCAGCUGAGAGCAGAAGAUGAAGGCGCUGAUUUGACUGAUGACAUUUCAGUGGACAUUAGCACUUUAGCCGCCUCUAAGAAAAGGCCAUCAAUAUAACCGCCUCCUUCUUGUAGAAAGGCAGCACAUUGCUCUAGCCCUAAUUUUUUCUGUCUUUCAUUUCAUUAACUCAGAUGUCGGCUGAAAUGAGCAGCUGUUAUUUGUUUGUUAGCUUGCUGACAUUUCCUUUGACAUGUACAAUGCAUCAGAGCAGCCAUAAUCUCUGUCCAUAUAAAUCGCUUCUUUUUGAAAGGAGACACUACUUAAGAUUUGACACAAGCUGCUACUAAAUCCAUUACCCUGGCAGCUUGUCACUGAACUUCAGUAACAGCAGUUGAAAAACUAAGUGAAACUCUUCUAAAUAAGGGUGGAUGACAUCUGAAUAUAAAGGCUAAAAAAACUGUUUGUGGUUGUUUUGAUUUUAAACUAGAUAUUUAUAUUUCAAUUUCUGGAAGGUCCUUUUGAAAGCAGAUCACAUACUGUACAACUUCAGUUAUUCAUUGCUGUGCUUUUGUAAAAGAUGUUUCCUUAGAAGUCUCCCAGCCACAUCAAAACUUCUAAACAAGCUAAUUUGAAGCCAGAUUGUAAACUCAGCCUGUCUGUUACAGUCGGUGGUGUGUCUUUGGGUUGCAACUACGGGGUUGACAUGAAGACAGAUGUUGUUUGGGCUAUGUAAAUGCUGGAGUUGUUUAAGGGGUGAGCAGGCAGACAAAAUGAUAAAUGCGUGUCAGUGAGGCACUGCCUCCCUCACAGAGGCUUUCCCUGCGAGCAGUAGGCUUGCUGUCUUUUGCGGUCCUCAAAGGGCCAAACCGUGCCAGACAGCACGUUCUGCAAACCACAGCAGCUCUUAUCUGGGAAGUCCUAAGCACUUCCAGAGGUCCUAUCUGUUUUGCUGUCAUGGGUUUAAUCAUAAACUGGUGAAUGUCCUUGUGGUUGAUGGUGAUCUAAGCUCCACAUGAGUCACUGUUAGAGUUGUUUCUGCUCAGGAACUGUAGUCUUGUGCCACUGCUUUAUUACAGGAUCUAUUCAGUCUCAAACUGUAUUUCUCAGAUGAGCAUUAUAAAUCCUGAAUGGCCUGACCACACAUACAAAUACAGAAGCUUCCCAACAAUGCUCAGCAGGAAACCCAGUGUGAUAGCAGCAUUCCAGGGUACGUUACUAUCUUCAUCUUCUCUAACAGUGCUGCUCUAACACCCUGUAUAUCUAACCCGUUGUUCAGAGAUAAAGAGAAAGGGACCGUACGUACACACGCACCCGCUCACAUACCAACACGGUGAUAAAUGUCACAGCACUCCCUGUCCUCCACCUCUUAGAUAAAGGCAAGCACAGAUGAAAGCUCCUAAGAAAAUAUAACAGGGAGAUGCAUUUGUUGUGUUUGAUAGCAUCGGCAUGGAGAGGACAAUAGAGAUGCAUGAGUAGGGCUCAAGAGGAGGGUUCACAGGAAAAUGCGUUAACUUCAGAAGGAACACAAACACUUGAUGCAUCAUGCCAGUAGCAUCUGUGCUUGUGACCUCUCCAGUCUGAGGAAAAAUGUAAUCUAGGUAAAGUUUGGAGGGUGUUUUCAUUGAGAAAACGCUUGACUAAAUGGGUGAUAUGGAACAGUCAGGACGAUUUACAGAUUUCACAGAUCAAGGAGUCGUUCAAAGUCAGAUCAGGUUAAGCCGCCUGAGAGGGAGAUGUUUGAGAAGUUGGUAUCAGUUUGCCAUCACUCGAAGAAAAUAUUCAUCUGCAGAGUGUGAUAUAACGGUUGAUUCACUGCUUCAGUUCAGAACCAGCAAACUGCAGGCAAGGUUAGAACUGUUUUUCCCAGUUUCCUUCAUUUUUGAAAUGUCAGACAAAGAAAAAAAUUAUGACAAAAUGGUUACCCUAUCAUACAUACAUACUCUCCAGUGCAGGUGGCAGGAGUUUUCCUGUGUUUAGUACUCUUUAAGUGAUUUAUUACUCUCUUAAUAAAGGCCCCUAACACAAAAUCUGAAGGAAACAAACAAAAAGUGGAGGUUUGUGUGGUCAAAAGACUUCAUGAAUCAUACUGACACAGAGCCCACCCCACCCCCACGGGCAGUUUAUUGAGCGCCAGGCUAUUACAUUGUGUACACAGUGAAGGGCAACGUUUUUGCAAGUCGGCCAAGUUGUUAUCUUAUCAGAUGUGAUUUGUGUGUUUGCGUCUGGCAGAAUUUAUUAAACACUGUGAAGUCUUAAUUAAAAGUGAGGAGCAAAAACUGAAUACAGAUUGCAGGUGCUCACAGUAUUAGGAGUAAAAGUUGUUCGUUUUUUUGUUUUUGUUUUACACUUCUUAAAUUUUUCAUCUUUAUUUGGAUUUUUUUUUAUUGUCACACUUACUUUACUUACUCUUACUCUACUUACUCUGGAUAAACAAUAGGUAUAAGCAUUCAUCUACAUUAUCAUUACCUAAAGAAAAAAUAAUUAACAGCAACUUUGUUAAGCAAUUACCUAAAAUGAUAAAGGAAUAGUUCCAACAUUUUGUGAAGUACACCUAUUUGCUUUUUUUUGCCAGGAGUUAGGUAUGAGUUAUAUCAGGCAGUUAGUCCUAGCUUAGCAUAAAGACUUGAAAUAGGGGGAAACAGC